GGGCGCAUAGCUCAGUUGGCAGAGCAGCUGACUCUUAAUCAGCGGGUCCUAGGUUCGAGCCCUAGUGCGCCCACCA
rnacentral:tRNA from 1 species